UAGAGGCGGCAGAGACAAGAAUGGAGCCAAGGCGGCGGAGGCGGGAGGGAAGCAAGCC
rnacentral:sRNA from 1 species